AAAAGAAGUGGCUAGUUUAACCUUCGGGAGGACGGUCACCACUUUGUGAUUCAUGACUGGGGUGAAGUCGUAACAAGGUAACCCUAGGGGAACCUGGGGUUGGAUCACCUCCUUA
rnacentral:rRNA from 1 species